GUUAGCAGACAAGGUGGUGUGUUCCUGCAGUUCCAGUUUCUUGGGAGGCUGAGGCAGGAGGAUUGCUUUGAGUCCUAGGAGUUCAGGCCUGCCUGAGCAAUAUAGCAAGACCCUGUCUCAA
rnacentral:sRNA from 1 species